rnacentral:pre_miRNA from 1 species
UUUGACUCUCUGUCUUAUUUAAAAUUUUUUUAUUGAUAUUUUUGUUUUUAUUAGAUGAUAAAUCAUAAAUAGUACUUUACGUGUGACUAAUUUUUUUUUAAUUUUCUGAAAAUUUUUUAAAUAAAACGGAUGGUCAAA